rnacentral:rRNA from 1 species
CCUACGGGAGGCAGCAGUGAGGAAUAUUGGUCAAUGGGCGAGAGCCUGAACCAGCCAAGUCGCGUGAAGGAAGACUGCCCUAUGGGUUGUAAACUUCUUUUGUCAGGGAGCAAUUCAGUCCACGUGUGGUCUUACUGAGAGUACCUGCAGAAAAAGCAUCGGCUAACUCCGUGCCAGCAGCCGCGGUAAUACGGAGGAUGCGCGCGUUAUCCGGAUUUAUUGGGUUUCAAGGGUGCGUAGGCGGAAUAUCAAGUCAGCGGUAAAAUCUCGGGGCUCAACCCCGUAGUGCCGUUGAAACUGACGUUCUUGAGUGGGCGAGAAGUAUGCGGAAUGCGUGGUGUAGCGGUGAAAUGCAUAGAUAUCACGCAGAACUCCGAUUGCGAAGGCAGCAUACCGGCGCCCAACUGACGCUGAAGCACGAAAGCGUGGGUAUCGAACAGGAUUAGAUACCCUUGUAGUC